rnacentral:rRNA from 1 species
AUGUCCAACUCGAGGGACUUGAGCUGCAACUCCGCUGUGGAGCCAGAAUCAACAGGGCUCGUCAUGUUAAGGCCGUCAGAGAUCACCACCAUAGAGGGUUGGGAGGGUGGGAUGAACUUGUCACCGCCACCAACACCGCCGCCUGCGCCCGCCUCCGAUGGUACACGGCCAAAUCCAGGAGCUGGAAUUUUACCACCCGAGAAAUACUCUCAGGCAACCAGGCUGUCCUCUGACUGCACCCGAACGCUGCCGCUCCGGCCGCCGCCUACUGCCUCCGCCGCCCGAUCGGAGCUCGAAGAGGGAUUUUACAGCAAAAGCAAACCUCUACGCUGCCCCAAUCAUCUACCGCCGCCGAGGAAAGACUGGCCUCUGAUACCAAUUGUCUGGAUCAGAGCUCUAGACAACGCAAUUUAA